UAUUAAAAUUUAAUUUAUUUCUACUAAUAAAAGUUGACAUGGCUGAUAGAAUAAGCAAACAAUGACAUAUGUCGUGUUAUGGCCCACGUGUACCUCAUACCGACAUACAAAGAUCAGUUUUUAACAGUAGAUAUAGAUAAAUUUUUGAACA
rnacentral:pre_miRNA from 1 species